rnacentral:miRNA from 1 species
GUCCAGGCUGGGCAGUGAGGAGGGCGUGAUGCCGCGAAGUGCACCUGCCCUUGUCCAACUCGGAC